AUGGCGACGUCCUCGGCGGGCCGGUACGCGGCGGCGCUCCACCGGCGGACGCACCGGGUCACGUCCGCGCUGGCCUACGCGGCGCUCGAGUGGGUCCUCAUCGCGCUGCUGCUCCUCAACGGCCUCCUCUCCCACGCCGUCGCCCGCUUCGCCGCCUACUUCCGCCUCCGCCCGCCCUGCCUCCUCUGCUCCCGCGCCGACCGCCUCUUCGGCGCCGAGCAGGAGGACGCCGAUCAGGCGGCGGGCGACGCGCGCUGGCUGCGGGGGCUCCUCUGCGGCGCCCACGCGGCCGAGAUCUCCGGGAUGGGCUACUGCCUCCACCACCGCCGCCUCGUCGCCGACGCCGCCGACAUGUGCGAGGGCUGCCUCUCUUCCUGGAAGAGGGAGAUGAUGCGGGACGCGGAGGAGGACGGCGCCGUGGUCUGCUCUUGCUGCAAAGCCCUCGUGCAGAUUACUUCUUCACGCGCGCUGGAGGAUCCUGCUGUACACCACAAGGCAGCCGAAGAAGAAGAACAAGAUCAAGGCUACGUUCUGCUGGAUCAAGAAGACCACGAAGACGAAGAAGAGGAGCAAAACGAAGAGGAAGCACAAGAACAACAAGGAGAGAUCAAGGUGGCUGCCGUGGAGGACGAGUCCUUGGAAUUCAUGGCUCAGGGCGAAGAGAUCACGCCUGAAGACGACGAUCGCUUGGUGCCGGUGGUGGCACUCGAUGAGAUGACAAUUGCCGACGAUUCGGGUCUGCAUCCGGAUGCCCCUGGCUCUCAGCGGGACGACAUGAAUCGCACGGACGAUGAGCGUGAUUCGGAUGAUCUUGAUACCGCAGUGGUUCCGGAGGAGAAGAGGAUGCUGGCUUCUUCGGUUGCAACGGCGCCUGCCACGGCCGAGAAUUCCAUUCGCCAAGAUGAUGAACUGGUUCUUGAAGAUACUGUCGAAACUGGAGAUUUCAGGACUGAUGAAGGAGACAUUGUUGUGCCUCAAGGUAAUAACCUCUCCAUUUGUUCCUCGGCCCGUUCAAUUUUACUCAAGUCGAUUACUGUCCCAUCAUCUCAUGAUUUUUGUUUGGUUCUACUUCUAGCCACUGAAGCAAUUCCUGAAGAUGGCAGCAAAUCGGCAGAGGUGGAGACUAACUGCGAGGUGUCAAUCGGGAGCGACAUCUGCGAGCAGGAGCAAGAUGGCCAUGCUGCUCCGUUUCAAGAACUGGUGGCGCUGGAGGAGCUGUUUUCUCCAUUGGAAUAUGCAGAUGACCGGACAUCACCACCGGAGAUCCUCCAUGAAACAGCCCCAGCCGAGCAAGGUAGCGAAGCAAGUGAAGCAGAGCAUGAGGCGACGGCGAGCCGGAGAUUUGAGUACCAAUCGAAUGGCGAGAACGAGGAGGACGAAGACAGGGCACCGGAGACGCCCACCUACAGCUUUGCUGCCCAGAACUCCGGCAAAAGGUUCUUGCUCGAGAGGAAGCGGUCACUGUCCUUGUCCUUGGAUGGCAGCGUGUCGAGCGAGGUCGAGUGUGCCGAGCCUUCCACCGUCGAUCAGCUGAGAUCCGCGCUGCAGGCGGAGCGAAAGACGCUCAGCGCCAUGUACGCCGAGCUGGAGGAAGAGAGGAACGCCGCCGCCAUCGCGACCAACCAGACGAUGGCGAUGAUCAACCGGCUGCAGGAGGAGAAGGCCGCCAUGCAGAUGGAGGCGCUGCAGUACCAGAGGAUGAUGGAGGAGCAGUCCGAGUACGACCAGGAGGCGAUGCAGCUGCUGACGGAGCUGGUCACCAAGAGGGAGAGGGAGAAGCAGGAGCUGGAGAGGGAGCUGGAGCUGUACAAGCAAAAGCUGCUGCAGUACGAGGACAGGGAGAGGAGGAGGAUGCCGGCCUUCGAGGACAAUGCGCGUAGCCCCGACGGCAAUGGCACCUCUGCGUCGUCCAGCGGCGAGGACAGCGACGAGAAUUCCGAUGACUCCUGCGAGCUGGGCGAGUCUCCGAGCGGCAAUCUUCAGAGCUCGCCGGACGCUGCUCUUAGCCCCAGGGCGGAUCAAGAGAACACCGGUCAUCUUGUGGCGCUGGAUGACUCCUUGACGUACAUGGAGAUGGAGAGGCUGUCCAUCUUGGAGGAGCUCAAGGCACUCGAGGAGCGGCUCUUCACGCUGGAAGACGACGAUAUCAACGGCAGCAAUGCGGCUGCUGGCCUUUCCUCAGACGAUCACGGUCCCCAUUCGCCGGAGAAUGGCCUCGCCGGCAACAAGGCCAGGUUUGAAGGCAGAGCUUCUGUUUCCAGAGGAAAGAGCCUCCUACCUCUCUUUGACGCGGUCGGUGACGAGAACGUCGACCGUGCACCACCAGCAGCCACCGAUGGUUCGACGAAACCGGCCGUCGCCGUGUUCGCCAAAGAGCAGGAGAGGCUGGCGAUAAUCGAGGAGGUGGAUCAUGUGUACGAGAGGCUGCAAGCACUGGAGGCGGACAAGGAGUUCCUGAGGCACUGCAUCAAGUCCCUCAAGAAAGGGGACAAGGGCAUGCACCUUCUCCAGGAGAUCCUGCAGCAUCUUCGCGAGCUCCGGGGCGUGGAGCUUCAUGCCAAGCACGCCGGCGAUGCCAUUGUUGCAAAUUCAGCAUAG
rnacentral:rRNA from 1 species